rnacentral:rRNA from 1 species
CCUACGGGUGGCAGCAGUGGGGAAUAGUGGGCAAUGGGCGCAAGCCUGACCCAGCAACGCCGCGUGAAGGAAGAAGGCUCUCGGGUUGUAAACGUCUUUUAUCAGGGACGAAGCAAGUGACGGUACCUGAUGAAUAAGCAACGGCUAACUACGGGCCAGCAGCCGCGGUCAUACGUAGGUGGCAAGCGUUAUCCGGAUUUACUGGGUGUAAAGGGCGUGUAGGCGGGAAAGCAAGUCAGAUGGGAAAACCAUGGGCUCAACCUGUGGCCUGCAUUUGAAACGGUUUUUCUUGAGUACUGGAGAGUCAGCCGGAAUUCCUCGUGUAGCGGUGAAAUGCGUAGAUCUU